GUUCCGUAGGUGAACCUGCGGAAGGAUCAUUAUCGUACAAAAUGUGAGGGGCAUGCGAGGGCUGUCGCUGACUCAAAAGUCGUGCACGCCCGAGUGUGUCCUCUUGCAUAAUAAUCCAUCUCACCCUUUGUGCAUCACCGCGUGGGCACCCUUCGGGAUCAUCUCGGAGGGGGGCUCGCGUUUUCACACAAACCCCCCUUUUAAAAGUGUAGAAUGACCACAUUUAUGCAAUCAAUACAACUUUCAACAACGGAUCUCUUGGCUCUC
rnacentral:misc_RNA from 1 species